AGUGAACGCUGGCGGUAGGCCUAACACAUGCAAGUCGAACGGCAGCACAGGAGAGCUUGCUCUCUGGGUGGCGAGUGGCGGACGGGUGAGGAAUACAUCGGAAUCUACUUUUUCGUGGGGGAUAACGUAGGGAAACUUACGCUAAUACCGCAUACGACCUACGGGUGAAAGCAGGGGAUCUUCGGACCUUGCGCGAUUGAAUGAGCCGAUGUCGGAUUAGCUAGUUGGCGGGGUAAAGGCCCACCAAGGCGACGAUCCGUAGCUGGUCUGAGAGGAUGGUCAGCCACACUGGAACUGAGACACGGUCCAGACUCCUACGGGAGGCAGCAGUGGGGAAUAUUGGACAAUGGGCGCAAGCCUGAUCCAGCCAUACCGCGUGGGUGAAGAAGGCCUUCGGGUUGUAAAGCCCUUUUGUUGGGAAAGAAAUCCAGCAGGUUAAUACCCGGUUGGGAUGACGGUACCCAAAGAAUAAGCACCGGCUAACUUCGUGCCAGCAGCCGCCGUAA
rnacentral:rRNA from 1 species